CCCGCAGCACAAGUGGUGGUCAUUAUUAUUGGGCCUAAAGCGUCCGUAGCUGGCCUGUUAGAUGCCUGGGUAAAUCGAUGCGCUCAACGUAUCGAACUCCGGGUAGACCGGCAGGCUUGGGACCGGGAGAGAUGUGAGCUACUCGAGGGGUAGGGGUAAAAUCCUGUAAUCCUUCGGGGAGGACCAGUGGCGAAGGCGUCACAUUAGAACGGCUCCGACAGUGAGGGACGAAGCCCUGGGGCGCAAACCGGAUUAGAUACCCGGGUAGUCCAGGGUGUAAACGCUGCAGACUUGGUGUCGGUGAUCCUACGAGGGUUGCCGGUGCCGUAGAGAAGUUGUUUAGUCUGCCGCCUGGGGAGUACGGUCGCAAGACUG
rnacentral:rRNA from 1 species